rnacentral:rRNA from 1 species
UACGGAGGGGGCUAGCGUUGUUCGGAAUUACUGGGCGUAAAGCGCACGUAGGCGGCUUUACAAGUCAGAGGUGAAAGCCCCGGGCUCAACCUGGGAAUGGCCGUUGAAACUGGCGAACUGGAGUGUGGCAGAGGGGGGUGGAAUUCCGCGUGUAGCAGUGAAAUGCGUAGAGAUGCGGAGGAACACCGAUGGCGAAGGCAGCCCCCUGGGCUGACACUGACGCUCAGGCACGAAAGCGUGGGGAGCAAACAGG